rnacentral:lncRNA from 1 species
GCAGAAAUGAUAAUAUGAAAGAUUAAUAACUGAACCUGAGAUUAUUUUAUCCUCUCUACUGUCUGUGUUCUGCUCGGUCCAACUUCAAGCAAGAUGGCAACGACGUCUCGGAAACAUAGAGACUUUACUGGUUAGCCAAUGGGAGACAAACUGGUGACGGCACUGUCAGGGAUUGGAGAGCUGCUGGGGAGUAGGCUGGCAGAUCAGGGCUUUGACAAGGUGAACAACACACACAUACAUGAAGUUUCCUUAACUGUUCAUUCAUAAAAGUAAAUUCAAUGUGUGAACAUUGUUUGGCUGGAGUAUUCAGUCAGCAGAAGCCUUUUGUUUGUCAACAGUCAUCAUUAAAUAAAGAGGGCACAGCUGGGUUCCUCCAAAAUUGAAUGUGUCUUCUCUGUCUGUUUUUUGUGUGUCUCUUUCAGGCCUUUGUGGUCCUGGGUCAGUUCCUGCUCCUAAAAAAAGACACUGAGAUGUUCUCUGAUUGGCUAAGAGAUGCCACAGGUGCAAACAUGCAUCAAGCUUUCUCAUGUGCCCAGUGUUUGAGGGACUGGUGCGCCUCCUUUCUUUGAGAGACUCCGCCCCUUCUUGUUCUUCCACUAUCAGCCUGCUGUUUUCUCCUGAGCUGGUUUCUGCCUAAUUGCUGCUGUGUGAAUGUUUCCAGAUGAACUGUCAAACACCCAUUGACACCGCAUCCGUAACGGCUGCGAAAAGGCCAUAUACGCCGAUCGCAGCUGAUCGUUUCCAUUCUAUGGAAGUGAUUGUGACUCAUAUCUCAAAUUCAAAAGCAUUAGCAGAAAUGCUUUUUCAUUUCA